UGGGCCUGCUCGGUGAAUGUAGUUUAACAGCUGCGGUAUUAUAACUGUACUAAGGUAGCAUAAUAAUUUGCCUUAUAAAUUAGGGCUAGAAUGAAUGGUUUGACGAGAAUUUAACUGUCUCUAUUUUAUUUAUUAGAAGUUAAUUUUUAUAGUGAAAAAGCUUGGAUGAUUUAAAGGGACGAGAAGACCCUAUUGAGCUUGAUAUUAAUAUUUAAAUAUAGGGUUUUAUGUUUAUAAUUAAUUAUUUAUUAUAUAAAUGUUUAUUGGAGUGUAAUUUUGAUUGGGGUGAUCAAGGAAUNNNNAAAAAUUUAAUUUUNNNNNNNNNGUAACUUCCUUAAAGUAGAUUUAUUUUAUUGAAUAAUAAACCAAAAUUUUUUGCUUAUAUGAUAAGUUACCAUAGGGGUAACAGCGUAAUUUUUUUUAAGAGUUCAUAUUGAAAAAAAAGAUUGCGACCUCGAUGUUGGAUUAAAAAUAACCUUAAGGUGUAGAGGCUUUAUUAGGUGAAUCUGUUCGAUUUUUAAAAUUUUACGUGAUCUGAGUUU
rnacentral:rRNA from 1 species